rnacentral:rRNA from 1 species
AGAGUUUGAUCCUGGCUCAGGAUGAACGCUAGCGGCAGGCUUAACACAUGCAAGUCGAGGGGUAUAGUAGCAAUACUAGAGACCGGCGCACGGGUGCGUAACGCGUAUGCAACCUACCUUUUACAGGGGAAUAGCCCAGAGAAAUUUGGAUUAAUGCCCCAUGGUAUAAUUGAGUGGCAUCAUUUAAUUAUUAAAGUUCCAACGGUAAAAGAUGGGCAUGCGUCCUAUUAGCUAGAUGGUAAGGUAACGGCUUACCAUGGCUACGAUAGGUAGGGGUCCUGAGAGGGAGAUCCCCCACACUGGUACUGAGACACGGACCAGACUCCUACGGGAGGCAGCAGUGAGGAAUAUUGGACAAUGGGCGCAAGCCUGAUCCAGCCAUGCCGCGUGCAGGAAGACGCAUCUAUGGUGUGUAAACUGCUUUUGUACGGGAAGAAACACUCCUACGUGUAGGAGCUUGACGGUACCGUAAGAAUAAGAU